AGAGCUGUGACUCUUGAGAUGCUCCUUCUUUCCUGACACAACAACAUGGCUUAUCAUUUGUAAAUCUGAAAGCUCCUUUUCCAGGAAAGAAUGUAUUUGCCUUAAAUUUGUCCAGUCCAUCCCUAUCGUCUCCUGUAUUUUCUGUCUGAAGUCGAGUGACAGAAUUUUCCACCAGAAGAUCAACAGUACUGCUGCCAGAAA
rnacentral:lncRNA from 1 species